ACACGGCUGAAGAGUAUCACUGGGAAGGAAGUGGGCUCGUGAGAUAAUCCAAUCCAGUGCUUCCCAGCCUUUAAUGAGAAAUGGUAAACCAGUGUGAGGAAGAGCACGGAUUCUGGAGUCAGACGGCCGUCCAGUGAUGGAAUUCUGGCUCUGCCACUAUCAGCUGUCCUGCAUGAAGGGAUUCCUUAGGAUCUGUCUUCCUGGGGAGCACCACACUGCAGGUGACACCACCCGUGGGCCUGAGGGGUGAAGACAGGCAGCUGUUGUGAGUCACGCACAGAGCUUGGGCAUGUGGUCUAAGCAGGCCGAGCCUAUGCAUGAGAGCCCACUCAGGAGCUGGGGUGAGAAGAGGAGGGGGCAGGCCAGAGGCCAGGAGCGUCCUGCACUGCUACAUACUGUGCUGUUAACCUCACGGUGCCCAGAAAUUUUACAUUUGAACCUUGUCUUCAGGUCAUGAUGAAGGUAUAUUUGCAAAGGCAGGAGGAUAUGGACAUAUUUAUCAGUUUGGUGAGCAACUUUUAAAUAUUUAAACCUAUGGUGCGUGGGCCUCCAUGUGCGCUCUUGCCUGGGGCCCCGCAAAUGUUAGGGGCACAACUGACUGCUACAAUUGUAUAUGUUUUUCAUUGCAUCAGCCACUCUAUGGAAGAUCCCAUAUUCUACCACGUUGAAUAUCUGCUCUUUCCCAAGAGUCAUAUUUACAUGGCUUCAUUUUUAUGAGGAAUGAAUGAGAAAGUUUUAUGGCUUCUAAAAAUUUCAUUUUUAGAGACAGGGUCUUACUCUGUCACCCAGGCUGGAGAGCAGUGCUAUAAUCAUAGCUCAGUGCAUCUUGGAACUCCUGGGUUCAAGCCAUCCUCCUGCCUCAGCCUCCUGAAGAGCUUGGAUGAUAGGUAUGCACCAGGCCCUGCUUCUUAUAUUUAUUCUUUAAGGGAAGUUCAAAACAAACGUAAAGAAACAACAGCCUGUGGGCCACUGGACAUCAGAGUGUAGUUCAUCGGGGCGAAGAGGCUUGUUUUAGAGUCAGUGCGGCCCUCGGAAUGGUCACGUUGGCCCCUCAGAAGCAGAAGUUGGUUGAUCCCUGUUCCAAUGCUCAGCCACUAAUGAGCCUCAGCUGCUCCCUCCAUCUCAGCUUCUGUGCCUUUCUUUAGAUUAUUAUCAAACACAUGUGUUUAUUUAGCUUCUCAUGUAUUUCUUAUUUUCUGCCCCGCUUAACAGCUAAGGUGUGCGUUCCUUGAGAGUAGAGGCUAUGUCUAAUAUCUCUGUUUCUGGCAUAGAACUGAACACAUAAGCAUAGCUUAGGAAUAUUUGUUAACUGGGUCAUCAAGGUGUCUGACAGGACGAAGUAAGUUUGGUUUCUAACAUAGUUUUAGAUGUUCUGAAUUCUUCUAAAAAUAAUACAUUUGAAAACAACCCUUUAUUUCAAACAGUGGUUUAUCUCUGACUCUAAAACUGAUGGAUUUCAAAGUACAUGGUUUCUUGACCAGGUUUUUAAGGUGGCUCAUUACUCUACAGACACAGUCUUAAAGCGGCUUCCUCAACGGCUUGACUCACUAACCUUGCUGAAUGUCCAUGACGAGUAGAACUCGGUGUAUUCAUUUUUUAACUGAUACAUAAUAGUUGUACAUAUUGAUGAGGUACAUGUGAUAUUUUGAUUUGUGCAUACGAUGCUUAAUAAUCAAAUUAGAGUAUUUAGGAUAACCACCGCUUCAAACGUUUCUCAUUCUCUGUGUGUCCUUGAUACAAGUAAUUUCUCUUUUAGAAAUUCAACCUAAGGAAACCAAGCAGAGUCCACCUUUAAGCCCAGGAUGACAGGAGUGACGACAUCUGCUUUGACAAGCAGUCAUAAAAGUAUGUUUUUAAAUAAAUUCCAGCUUCAUGGGAAAA